GACGAACCGUGCGAACGUUGUUCGGAAUCACUGGGCUUAAAGGCUCGUAGGCGGCCAACUAAGUCAGACGUGAAAUCCCUCGGCUUAACCGGGGAACUGCGUCUGAUACUGGAUGGCUUGAGAUUGGGAGAGGGAUGCGGAAUUCCAGGUGUAGCGGUGAAAUGCGUAGAUAUCUGGAGGAACACCGGUGGCGAAGGCGGGUCUCUGGGCAAUAACUGACGCUGAGGAGCGAAAGCGUGGGGAGCGAACAGG
rnacentral:rRNA from 1 species